rnacentral:lncRNA from 1 species
GUUAGGUCCUUUUUGGACAGUGAUGGCGUGAGGACAAGAUGUAACUACGAGUGUCUCCGGGUUUCAGUGGUGGAUCCGUCAGGAUUCGCCACUGGAAGGUUUAGAUUCAAUAAGGCCUACAAGAUUAGGAUUUUAGUUGCUGCACCCAGCGACUGAGCUACCAUCAUUUCUGAACUAAAUUUGUGGGUUCAAGAGAGAAAGUGUUACCCAAUACCUCAAGAAU